GACGAACGCUGGCGGCGUGCUUAACACAUGCAAGUCGAACGGAAAGGCCCUGCUUAUGUGGGGUGCUCGAGUGGCGAACGGGUGAGUAACACGUGAGUAACCUGCCCUUGACUUUGGGAUAACUUCAGGAAACUGGGGCUAAUACCGGAUAGGAGCUCCUGCUGCAUGAUGGGGGUUGGAAAGUUUCGGCGGUUGGGGAUGGACUCGCGGCUUAUCAGCUUGUUGGUGGGGUAGUGGCUUACCAAGGCUUUGACGGGUAGCCGGCCUGAGAGGGUGACCGGCCACAUUGGGACUGAGAUACGGCCCAGACUCCUACGGGAGGCAGCAGUGGGGAAUAUUGCACAAUGGGCGGAAGCCUGAUGCAGCAACGCCGCGUGCGGGAUGACGGCCUUCGGGUUGUAAACCGCUUUCGCCUGUGACGAAGCGUGAGUGACGGUAAUGGGUAAAGAAGCACCGGCUAACUACGUG
rnacentral:rRNA from 1 species